ACGCUCGACACCUACGGGAGACAGCAGUGGGGAAUAUUGCACAAUGGGGGAAACCCUGAUGCAGCGACGCCGCGUGAGCGAAGAAGUAUUUCGGUAUGUAAAGCUCUAUCAGCAGGGAAGAAACUGACGGUACCUGACUAAGAAGCACCGGCUAAAUACGUGCCAACAGCCGCGGUAAUCUGAGCGGGCUGGCAAGGC
rnacentral:rRNA from 1 species